UGGGGAAUAUUGCACAAUGGGCGCAAGCCUGAUGCAGCCAUGCCGCGUGUGUGAAGAAGGCCUUCGGGUUGUAAAGCACUUUCAGCGGGGAGGAAGGCGAUAAGGUUAAUAACCUUGUCGAUUGACGUUACCCGCAGAAGAAGCACCGGCUAACUCCGUGCCAGCAGCCGCGGUAAUACGGAGGGUGCAAGCGUUAAUCGGAAUUACUGGGCGUAAAGCGCACGCAGGCGGUCUGUCAAGUCGGAUGUGAAAUCCCCGGGCUCAACCUGGGAACUGCAUUCGAAACUGGCAGGCUAGAGUCUUGUAGAGGGGGGUAGAAUUCCAGGUGUAGCGGUGAAAUGCGUAGAGAUCUGGAGGAAUACCGGUGGCGAAGGCGGCCCCCUGGACAAAGACUGACGAUCAGGUGCGAAAGCGUGGGGAGCAAACAGG
rnacentral:rRNA from 1 species